UACGUAGGGCAGCAAGCGUUUGUUCGGAGUUACUGGGCGUAAAGGGUGUGUAGGCGGUUUUUUAAGUUUGGUGUGAAAUCUCCCGGCUCAACUGGGAGGGUGCGCCGAAUACUGAAAGACUAGAGUGCGGGAGAGGAAAGUGGAAUUCCUGGUGUAGCGGUGAAAAUGCGUAGAUAUCAGGAGGAACACCGGUGGUGUAGACGGCUUUCUGGGACCCGUA
rnacentral:rRNA from 1 species